rnacentral:lncRNA from 1 species
CUGAAAAUUGUGAUUGGGACAUGACUCUUCGAAGUCUCGUGAGGUACAUAUUUCUUGUCACUUUAAAUUUUAAAAACACAAGAAAUCAACAUCAUGUGCAAGUCUUUUUAGAACUCCUAUAGUGUGCGUCCCCUAUCCCUGUACUAACAUCAUUAUCCUACGUCUAGUGAUUAUGUACACAACAUUCAGUAUUCUUCCCAGCACAUUCCACUACAACCAUGGGAAUUUGAUAGUUGGACUAGUCUAGAAUCAUUUCUAGAUUGGCUCGAUAACUUGGAAAAAUUCUUCAAAUACCACCAUUUGAGUGACUCACGUCGAAUUGUCUAUACUAAUAGAUCACUUAUAGGUUCAACUAGGAGUAAUUGGAAAUUGUUUACACGUAAUCGUCUUGGUCAACACUCAAUCACUGCGUGGAAUGAAACGAAAUGAAUCUAAGCAACAAAUAUUCCCCUGUGUAUUAUAGAACUCAAUUGUUAAAUCAAUAUUUUUUACCCUAUAGGCAAGGUACAUCCACUGUUAGUGAGUAUCUGUCACGUUUCAAAUUCAUAUCAAUAUUCACGUAUUUCAAACCAUUUAAUCUUCUCAAUACCAUUUAAACCUCUCAACUACCUACAAACCACAAAAGCAUUUAUCUCCCACCAAACCCACUGAAAAAGCAUUUCAUCUACCUACAAAAUUAUCUACUUACCACCAAAGCCAUUGAAAACACGAAAAAAGCAUUUCAUCUACCUACAAAAUCAUCUAUCUACCACCAAAGCCAUUCAAAACACUAUUUUCAAUUUAACCAGUAUUCAUUUAGCAACUUGGUAUUUCCUAACCUAUCCAAAUCAUACAAAAGUCCGCCACUACCGUCAUCGAAGUAAUAAAUGCCGAAAAAGGUAAUUUACAUGUUUACAUUUAACGUUAGAAAGAUAUCAGUUCAUAGACAUGAAUCUCCAUGCACUGCAGAGAUCGCAUUCCAGCCUGCGCCAAAACAUGCAUCUCUCGGCAGUGGGAGAAUUUAGCAUAUUUUUGUUUCAUAUCUUUUUUGUUAAAUAAACAGUAUAAAUAAAUUAUUCCUUCUAUAAAUAACAAUUUAUUUUUGCUUAAAAAAAAUCCAUCAUUUUUUUUAAGUUUUAAAAUAAUAAACAAGAAAAUGAAUAUAUUCAGUCCGCACAGUGCAGUGUGCCUAAACACUCUGCAUAGCACAGAGUGUUUUCCCAAACACUAUGCUGUACGGAGUGUUUCCCCAAACACUCCCUCCCUCCGAGCGCCCAAACACUCCAUUACAUGUUUUACAGCAUUUUGUUCUCUUUCAUUUACAUUUUUUUUUAAUAAUUUCAUUUAACCUACAAAAGCAACAUAAAAAUCAUAUAAUAAAUCGUCCAUAAUUGAUAAAAAUUAGCUCAUUAAAAAACUCAAAUGAUAUUUUUGUAGAGUUGUAGUACAUGAGAUAUCAUUCAUCGUAAUGGGGAUCUUUUGCUAGCUUCUAUUUUUAAAUUUAUUUAUGAAGAUUAAGCUAGAUUUGUAUAUAAAAAAAUUUUAUGAUUAAAGAAUGGUUUUUUUGAUAAUUUUUGUAGAUGUCGUUACAAUACAUAUUGUCUCCAAAUCAAUGGUUCUCUGCUAUUAUUAGUCAAUUUACAAAUCAUCAAUAUCUUAAAGAUUUUGUAGAACUUAUAGAUGCAGAUGAUCAGGCCUCUUUAUUGUGCAGUCACUUUCAUGUAUUUAUUUAUGGAAGUAUGUAUAAGGCACAAAAAUAAAAAUUUAGUAGUAAAUUGAUACACGAGUUUAUAAUGAGACUUAUUGACUGUGGUAAAAAUAAUGAAGUUUGGUGCGAUCAGAUAAUCGUGUGGCCCGUUUUGGCAUGCAAUAAUUUUGUCUAAUCAUUGGAUUACCAUGCCAUAAAGUUAUUGUUAAUCUCGAUUUUAGUAAUACUCGACUUAGGGAUGAGUACUUCAAUGGUACAAAAAAGAAUUACUAUGAAAAGACUUUCUGAAGGAUUCCACAUAUGUCAAGAUCUAGAAGAUAAAUUUAAGUUGCGAUUAGUUAUAUCCGUGGAAUGUAUUUUGAAACCAACUAGAAGGUACAUCGAUUAUAGAACUCUUAGAAUGGUUGAACAAUUUGAUGAGUUUCUUAUGUAUCCAUGGGGCCGCAAGACAUAUUUUAUUUUAUUAAAUUCAUUGCAAGAAUCAUAGCUCGAAAGAGUAUAAAAGGUACAAUAAAAUAACCAAACAGAUUAUAAAUAUUCCUCAAAAGGUUAUCCAUUUGCAUUUCAGGUAUUUUUCUUUUAUUUUUAUUUUUUGCUUAUUAUGUAUAAUCUAAUUGUAUAAAAAAAUUAAUAUUUAUUUUUACUUAUAUUGCAGUAUUGGAUAUAUGAAGCUUUUUCUCAAAUUAGAAAAUAAUUUGGACGUAAUACACAUAGAAAAUGCAAUAUCCAUGAAUGCAUAAAUGGAAUCCAAAAAUAGUAUUAACAGAACAAAUCAUUAAACAAUUUCUGGCUACUCAAGAGGUAUGAUUUAUUUAAAUCUACAAUUAAAUGUGUAUUUAAUUAUUUAUAAACGAAUUUAAAAAAAUAAAUCUAAUAUUUUAUUACAAUUAUAGAUUGAAGUAAUUGCAGUACUGCAUCCUACUGAAGAAGAAUUGAAAACAUUCUGGUAUACAAAUCAUUGACAACCAACAUUGUAUACCUGAUGGCAUUGUCAAUGGCGAAUUUGAAAAUGUAACACAAUAGAUUCCUAUUGAUAACAUACAUAUGCAAGAAACAAUUGUUGGCACUUCAGUUGGAAUUGGAUCUAUUUCUUCUGGUGGUUCAAACUAUGUAACUAAAGAAGAUAUGGACCAAACAUUCAAUAUUUAUAGACAACAUGUAGUGUCAAAUGUAUCUGGUUUGUAUGAUAGCUUAAAAACACAAAUGGUUGAAAAAUCGAGAAAAUAAGAAGCACGCUAUAUCAUGCAAUUCUUGAAAAUCCAAAAGCUCACUACCAGACGAUUCUUGACAACUAGAAACAAUAUUUGAAUAUCAGCAAAAAGGCCAAUAAGGCUACUUCCAAGGUAUGCAAUCUUAUGUGGAUACCAAUUUCAGUUCAACGAAAUCGUACAUUGAUGAACAAAAUUAGAAUAUGCUGAAUCAAUUGUCUGACUGGAAAUCAUACAUGGAAACAAUUGUAGGCUCUAUACAACGAGAUGUUCCUGCCUAUACAAGUUCAAUUGAAUUCGAAAACCCUUCAACAUCUGAACAUAUUGAAAAUGUUGAAAGGUUGACGAAAAAAAGGAGGUAAGAAAAAACAAACACAAUCUCCAUCAACAGUGCUGACUAAUACUUUAAAAGAAACUAUAACAACAACAAGUACGAAAAAAUUAGAGAUUUGAUAUUACAAAAUCCAUCAGGAUGGGAGAUCCAAUAUUACUUUAUUAGCUUAAAUAUUAUAAUUUAUAUUUUAUUCAUUUAACACCAAUUUAAAUUUUCUUAUAUAGUACGUAUUGGGAUGAUGGAGCCGGCAAUCUCUACGAAAGACAAAUGCUAAGAGAUAUAAUUUAUCAAACGAAAGAUAUAAAUAUUAUAGUAAGUAAAAUUUAGUAAUCAUAAUUCAUUUUAUUCCAUUAUUAAUAUAUAUAAUUUACACUUUUUUUUAUUAGAAUAUUGAUACAGAAUUAAAGCUAUUGAGGAGGCUUAUUAACGGCGAUUCUCCCCCCGUUUCUAAAGAAUAUGCAAUCAUGGACCAUAGAUUCGAAACUGAAUGUGUUCAUUGGCAAAUGAAUAUGCAAGAAGGAAUUGGCAAUCUGCAACUAAUUUGAACAUAUUACAACAGUACAUAAAUGGAAAAUUGUCAUUAUCUCCUCAUCUGUGGAUAACAUGUAACUAUUUAUUAAUUCCAUUUGCAUAUCUAGGCAACACUUGAUUUCUUUUUCUUGUUGAUUUUCGAGAAUGGAAAUUUCAUAUAUAUGAUUACAACAACAGCAUUCAUACAUCGAAACAAAUGAGGGCACAUGCAAGACCAAUAUUGACUGUAGUAGAAUCAUUAUUAGUAUGUGCAGACAUUUUCUCUAGCAAACCAAGUUUAAGAAAGUAUAGAAAUAAACAUAUGAAUUUGAAAAUCAUACCGUAUCUACCUUGUCAAAAUAAUGGGUAAGCAUCUCAACAGUUUACUAUAAUAUUUAAUUUUCUAUUUAAAAUAUUAAUAUAAUCUAACUUCAAACUAUUUUUUCUAUAGGCCAAAUUGUGGAGUUUUCUUCUCAAAUACAUAGAAUGCUUCAUUUUCAAAUAUCCAUUAGAAUCGAUUUCACUAGAGAAGAUGAGUUUAUACAGAUGGAAGAUUGCAACAGAUAUCUUGAAUAUUUUUUACCUCUCCGUUUGUCCCGAUUUCAAUGUAUUAUCAAAGUAUAGUAAGAUUAUUUUCAAAUGCCAACAUAUUUACCACAUUGAGCAUGCGUUGAAUGAUAAUAACAACUACAUGAUUAUUAUCACUAAACCACAGCUUGCAUUCACUACUUUAAUACUAUUCAACACAGUUUCUAAGAUGAGUUAUAAGUAUUUCUUCAUUAUGUACGAAUAUACUAAAACUUAUAAAUAUCUAAAUCAUCAUUGUAUUGUUGCCUACAAUAACUUAACGUAUAUUCUAUUACAAUAAAUAAUCUUAUUACCUCUGCUUCACAG